AAAAAAAAAGGUUCGGCGUGCUCGCGGAGCUCUGUUUGCGCUCUCCGCGUAGUCCCCAACCCCACCAUGGCCAGCUAAAAAAACAAAAAAACAAAAAAACCAACAACCACGGCGAUCGGCGAAACUUAAGGGCGAGCAGCGGCGAUGGCAGCCCCGUCGCCCCAUACGAUGAAUCCAGGAGAUGGCUACACGGUGGCUACCCACACCCCCUUGACAUACAGUGGUUUGUUUGUUUUGUCACAUCCAUUUGGCAAAUAACCGAUAUGGGUGAUACUUGUUAUUCUGGUUGAAAUUCCAUAAAUGCACGGGAUCAGGGGGCUCAGGGGGGUGUACAACAGUGGUAUUACUAAAUCAAAAAUCUUUUGCUUACAUCAGCAAGUGUAUAUAGUUUUCAAUAUACAUGUGGGUGAAACUCAUAAAGUUUAGGUCCAGAUUUCUUCAAUCAGUUGUGCUUCACUUAUGUUUAGGGAAAAUUCAAUAUUCUAUUAUUCUACAAAAUAAAAUUUCAACAGUGGUAUUGCAGUUUCACCUAGCGAUUGUGUGUAGUUUUAUUUUCUAAUUGGGUGGAAAUUUCGUUUUCUCCCUAUUGUAUAAAAUCAACUUGCGAGUAAUUGCUUUUUUUAUUUGAAUCA